rnacentral:rRNA from 1 species
AUUUGAAAUCUGACGUCUCUCUGAUGUCCGAGUUGUAAUUUGGAGGAGCGCCUUCGGGGACAGACGCGUCGUUCUAAGUUCUUUUGGAACUGGACAUCAUAGAGGGUGAGAAUCCCGUGCCUGGGCGACAGUCUUGUUUCCGUGUGAAGCGUUUCCGACGAGUCGAGUUGUUUGGGAAUGCAGCUCAAAAUGGGUGGUAAAUUUCAUCUAAAGCUAAAUACAGGCGAGAGACCGAUAGCGCACAAGUAGAGUGAUCGAAAGAUGAAAAGCACUUUGAAAAGAGAGUUAAACAGUACGUGAAAUUGUUGAAAGGGAAGCGCUUGAGAUUGAACCAUGACAGGAUGGAGCUGUUGAGGGCCUCGGUCCUUAAACACCCCUCCAUUCUCCCUCCAACCACCAUCGGUUCUGGCGGCGAGAAAAACGGUUAGGGAAUGUGGCUCCCGUCAGGGAGUGUUAUUUAGACCUUUCCGAUUUGCGCCAGCUGGGACCGAGGCAGAAGCGAGCCUUUUUGGCUCAAGGAUGUGUGGCAUGUCGAUCUUAAGCGACCCGUCUUGAAACACGGACCAAGGAGUCUAACAUCUAUGCGAGUGUUCGGGUGGAAAACCCUUGCGCGUAAUGAAAGUGAACGGAGGUGGGAACCACUUCUGUGGUGCACCAUCGACCGAUCCUGAUGUCUUCGGAAGGAUUUGAGUAUGAGCAUAGCUGUUGGGACCCGAAAGAUGGUGAACUAUGCCUGAAUAGGGUGAAGCCAGAGGAAACUCUGGUGGAGGCUCGCAGCGGUUCUGACGUGCAAAUCGAUCGUCAAAUUUGGGUAUAGGGGCGAAAGACUAAUCGAACCAUCUAGUAGCUGGUUCCUGCC